UUUCCAGCCUGAGACCUGAGCAUAUCCACUGUGGCAUGAAGAAGAUGCUGAAUUCAAAUUGAUCAUGCUUUGAGAUGGUGCUGUAUCCAUGAUCUGAAGACCAAGACAACAGGAGAAGAGGAGCAAGAGGGGUCUCUCCAAUGCAUCAAAUUGUAAAUGGCUAACUCAACUGACCUAGGG